AUUGAACGCUGGCGGCAGGCCUAACACAUGCAAGUCGGGCGAGCGGCGGACGGGUGAGUAAUGUAUGGGGACUGCCCGAUGGCGGGGGAUAACUACUGGAAACGGUGGCUAAUACCGCAUACUAUCGGAUAACCCAUAUGGGAUUAGCUAGUAGGUGGGGUAAAGGCUCACCUAGGCGACGAUCUCUAGCUGGUCUGAGAGGAUGAUCAGCCACACUGGGACUGAGACACGGCCCAUACUCCUACGGAGGCAGCAGUAGGGAAUCUUACGCAAUGGGCGCAAGCCUGAUGCAGCCACGCCGCGUUAGUGAAGAAGGCCUUAGGGUCGUAAAGUACUGUCAGCAGGGAAGCGGUACCCACAGAGAAAGCAACGGCUAACUACGUGCCAGCAGCCGCGGUAAUAC
rnacentral:rRNA from 1 species